rnacentral:rRNA from 1 species
CCCCCCACCCCGCGCGCGCCUCCUCUCCCCUCCCCUCCCACGCGCCUCCUCUCCUCCUUCCCCGCCGCCGCCCGGCCUCCUCCUUCCACCCCUCCGGCCGGCUCCUCUCCCGCUCGCGCCGCCUCCUCCUCCCCACCAGCGCCUCCCUCUCGUCCUUCCCCACCUUCGCCUGGCCUCCUCCUUCCUCCCCUCCGAUCUGGCGCCGCCCAAACCCUAACGCCCCGCCCCGGCCCUGGAUCGUGCGCCGCCUCCGCUGCCGGCAGGAGGGGGCCGCGGCGGCCGCGGCGCAGCCCGAUGACCAGGAGCUCCCCGGUGAGCAGCCGUCCGCCCCUUCCCCCUCCAAAGCUCGCGCUCUUCCUCUCUUCACCGUCCCCUUGCUCCGCCGGCCGCCGGCCCGCCAACUCCUUCGCCUCCGGGAAGCACCGCCUUGUUUGCUCCUGUUCGGCGGCGGCCGUGGUCGAGCUCGAGCCCGGGCGCGGCGGCGCGUUGUUGAGCAUGGCUGCGGCCCGGCCAUGGCCGAGCUCGAGUGUUUCGUUGACGUUCCUACUGAUGUGCGCCCUAACUGUUGCUGUUGUGCGCCCUAACUGCCAUGGCCGAGCUCAGCUCUAUCAAUUCCCCGCCCUAACUGCUGUUGUGCGCCCUAACCCUAGCCUCUCACAGUAGGGAGAGGAGGUCGUGGGGGAGGAAGGAGAAGAGGACAUGGAGCAGCGUAACUGGCGGAGCAGCUGCAACGUCGAGCGGCCUCAGUGAACCAAGAGAGUCGUGGAUGCAGUGAGAGUUGGGUGUCGUGUCCGAUUGAGCGGCAAGCCGGAACUGCAAGUUGUUGAACAUGUGGUGCUACUGUGACUUGUGAUAAAGAUUCACGAGUUGGCUGCGCACAUGCUUGCUGGCUGGAAGGAGUUUGAUUCAUUACUUGAUGGCCUCAAAAUGGAUACAGGAUCUGUUGGAAUCAAGAAGGCCUUAAGGCGAACCUUACCCACUGCAAGUCCGCAGUGUGGCUGCUUGGUGGCUGUCGCAUUGCUGGCCAGGCUCCACCUCCGCCUUGUGGUUGUUGGCGUCACCGGCCAUGCCCCACCCGCACAAACUCCUGCUCGCCUCCCAUCUUGAUGUCCACAUCUAAGUAUGGGGUUUCCGACUAUGGUGCAGCAUAACCUCAGUAGAUCAUCUCCAAAUGGGUGCUAGUAUGGUAGUUCAAUAUACGCAUUGAUUUGGCAGGAUUUAUGAGGAGUGGGUAAUCAAUGAACCUACAAUCAGUCACGACUCUAGAGCAAAAGAAAGGGUCAAGCAGUGAUGCGUCGAGCUCGGGUUCGAGGACAAGGCCAACCUCAUGCAGUCGAUUAAGAAUACGCUGCAGGGUUUGGUGGUCUGGCACAUCGAGUGCUCGAGAGCCUGGAGCCCAAGGUCAGGAAGCGCGUUGAGGCGCUCCAAAAUAUAUCCAGGUGCUACUCAAUUCGUUAGUUGUAUCUCAUUAUGCGCUGGACAACACAACAAUUUGAUUGUGAAUCUAUUCUGGUGCAGAGUCGUUCGAUGCUUGCACCGUUGUAAUCGCUUUGGCUACUUCCAGUGCUGAUCAAGAGCAGGGACAACAGAUCAUGUAUCCUUUGCUUCAUGAACUAAUGUUCUAAAUUCUUCAAGCAGCGAGGCACACAUACCGUCUAGUAGCAGUACUAUCGCAAAGCCAGUUGAUGCUAGGUGUGCUUGAAGAUGUUCCACUCCAUGGAUCGAUAGAGUACAAUGGCUUUGUCUACACUUAUCUUUAAGGACACAACCUGGAGUCUUGUGGAGGUGUGAAGAUGAUACCCAAGUAAUCUAGGACAUUAAUUUGUUACGGGUUCACUUGUGUACAAGAGUGCCAUGUUCUUUCCCGUGUAAUAUAUUGUGAUUUUUUUGUUUAACAUCAUGUAGACUGUAUCUUUCUAUGGUAGUAAACAUUAUCCUGCUUUUUGGUUUGGAGCUGAGCGCUGGACCAUGGUGAUGGAGACUGCUCUUUGGAAUUCCAGUAUACUUGGAGAAAGAAGCAAAAGUUGAGGACCAGGUUGUUCUCAGUAUAUUUGUCACAACAAGUAUGAUUUGGUAUAUCAUGUUAUCAUGUUAUAUUUCAUAUGAAAUUUGCCAAUGGCGUGUGAUGAACCUUGAUGCUGUCUAUCCUUUAUAUGGAUAAGAUGUAAACUUUGUUUUAGAUUAGUACUUCCUCUCUUAUGUUUGCGCUCUUAGUACUGAACUUAGAGUCAAGUGGUUACCUUUUGUGGUCUGAUGAAAGCACUGAACUUGAACUCUAUGUUGCCUUAUAAUCUCA